rnacentral:piRNA from 1 species
UUGCUAUAAACAAUCAAAAAA